rnacentral:rRNA from 1 species
UACUAAGGGGGCUAGCGUUGUUCGGAUUAACUGGGCGUAAAGGGUGCGUAGGCGGGUUUUUAAGUCAGGGGUGAAAUCCCGAGGCUCAACCUCGGAACUGCCUUUGAUACUGGGAAUCUUGAGUCUGGGAGAGGUGAGUGGAACUGCGAGUGUAGAGGUGAAAUUCGUAGAUAUUCGCAAGAACACCGGUGGCGAAGGCGGCUCACUGGCCCGGAACUGACGCUGAGGCACGAAAGCGUGGGGAGCAAACAGG